AAUGUGGCGAAAAGUUGCAAGAUUCAAGGGGGCCGAAUACUUUUGCAAGGCACUGUAGCUUUAAUGUGGUUGUGUCUGUGUGGGGGAUGCAUGUGUGCGUGCAUGUAUUAAAAAUGCUCUGGGGAAAACCUUGAAGUAAACACUUGUGUUGAGUACUUAUGUCACAGCAGCCAUUACCAAUAAGUUGUCUGUUUCAAGCAUACUGUUAAAGCUGUAAGUCAUUUGUGUUACAAUGACAUGUUUGCACAGUCGUCGUUAGGAGUGGGAACCUCUUGGUACCUCACGAUACGAUACGAUAUGCGAUACAAAAAUUACGAUAACGAUGUUCUCACGAUAUGGUGAUACAAUGAUUAUCGAUACAUUGGUCAGGAAAUCAACCUAAGAUAUUCUACAAAGCGAUUAAUAAACAAGCUUCUGUUGUGAAUUUCAAUGAGUUUACCACUAGUGGACAUCCAAUCCGUUUGAAGUGGGAGGGUGUCUAUGGCCAUCAGUGGCAGCCAAUGCUAGGCAACGAGGUAAUUUUGGGGCAUUUCAGAUCAUUACUUUAUUGAUUUUGAGUCACUUACUGUUGAUUUUGGGUUACGGAAAAUGAAGUGGCCCAGGAAUCUCCCAAAUGAAUAGGCAGCGACUAAAACGCAACAGGAAGCGACCUGUAAAUGCACUAAAAUGAACAGAAAUUGACUUGUAAAGCUAAAAAUUGGUACACCUAGUGACAAAGUUCCAGUUCCUAUGAUCGAAAAUCCUUCAGUACCGAUGUUGCGAUCAGUACUUUUAGAGAAAAAGGUCCAAGAUUUUAGAGUUUUUAUUUACGGUUUGAAGUGUAGGACCUUGGCCAAUGAAUGGACGUGUUGGUACUAGUAAGACUAAGAGGAAAAUCCUUGCGUAUUGAGUAAAGGUGUGUGAAAUUUCCGAUUCUUAGAUUAUUCGCGAUUCACAAUUCCAAAUUCCAAUUAUUUAAAUAUGCCAAGUAAAGCAGAACUAAAACACAGUCAGCGCGGUCUUUGGGAUGCAAUGGGGAACGGACAAAGAGUACACAUCAACAACUCACACUUCCUAGAUACAAAACAGCAACAAGCAUGGCUGACUAGUGCUGCAACGAUUAAUCGAUUAACUCGAGUAUUCGAUGAGAAAAAAAAUAUUCGAAUUAAAUUUUGCUGCUUCGAGUAUUCGGUUAAUUAAAGUGGUGUUGUAAAGGUUUGUUUAGAAAGGGUUUGCAUUUAGUUUUAUUGAUGUGGGUGGAUACACGGCCCUGUAGUCUACCUCAUUUCACAUGGCUAAAUCCAUCUGCUCCCUGUUAAGACCAACAUUAGCUAAGUUUUUGUUUGAGCUAAUGUUUUUUUGAAUGCAUUCGUAAUUUAGUUCAUAGGUAUAUUGAGCCAUUUUUUGUGGGAAUAUGUGUCUGAACCAUUUGUUAACAGCAUUGUAAAAAAAAGUUAGCAUUUUAUAGCAUUUAAGCUAGCAGACUAAGUUAGCUAACUCUUCUUUUUUGUAUAUAGAUCUUCAUUUCAUGAUUUUUUUUAUACCAUUUGAGGCUCAGCUGAGGUAUUUUAAUUUUUUAUGUUCCGUAUCCGAUUACUCAAUUAUUCGAACUAAAUAGUUCAUCAGCCCUAUGGCUGACCUAAUCAACAAACUUCUCCGUGAGAUCAGACCUGCUCCCAAAAAUUUAAAAGCAGACGUGUGGAUUAUUUUGGAUUUGACUAGAAAAUCUUCUUCUAGAAAAUAGGGAAUUUCAAAUAAUGUUGAAAGCAAGGUACAAGGUAUGUCAUCCCACCACCUCUCUACAGGUAGACAAAAGUAGAAAUCAUGCCAUCGCUGUCGAACGAAGACCGACUCGCUGUUAUGUGCAAUGCAUGAAAACCACAAUUUUGCUAAUAUCCCUGAGCUCCGAAGCGGGGCUGUAAAUGAAUGGAAAAUCGCAAAAAAAGACAUUUUUGUUCUUACAGACAACGCAGCUAAUAUGGUUGUCGCUGCCCAGCUGGGUAACUUUAGCCAUCUGACAUGCCACGCCCACACACAGAUCCUUGUUUUUUCGUCUGCAGGAGUCAAUGCACAGCGUAGCAACACUUAAAUCUGAGCACGUGGAUCAACUCCUGUUCUUAUACAAGAACAUGGAAUUUUCUCAGCACACUUGACCUGUCCUGCUGAGGUUCGGAAUCAAAAGAAUCGUACCCUCUGAAUCGUAAUCGAAUCGUGAGGGCAUGUGAAACAAAGAAUGGGGGCAUCCUUCAAGGCGCUGGAUCAGAGUGGCAAACGCCCCCACAGAACCACAAAAUGAGGACCACCUUGAACAGGGUCCAACAAUGAAGACAAGUCAGCCUAACAGAAACCACUGAGUUGACAGGGGGCGUAUAAUGCUUCUAUUACUCUAACAGUGGGUGCCCGAUUCCUAGCAUGUCAACAUCCACACGGUUAAUGAACAACCAAAGUGACAACAGGAGCCCCCACCGACCCAUUUCUCUUGGGAAUAGAAUAAAAGACUACGUUUCACAGGAUUCAAAACCAAGUGCGCAACCUGGAACGUGCCGCGAUGACAGUUCUGUUAUCCUGACAGCUGCACACAAAGUACAAGAUGUGAAUGUAAAGCCUCUGACGCGUUGCUGUCCAAGGAAGAUUGAGAGUGAACAGGUGGUGGCGGCAUUGUGGGCUUAAGAGGCUACUUACUUGCCUCAAGUACACAUGGUUAAAGAGUGCUAGCAUAUAUGUACAAUACCAGAAUGACCACCUCAGUGUUCUUUAACCAGGAACUGAAUGACAAUAUAACAACAAGUUUCAAAGAGGUAGCGGUCACAAAGUUUAAACUGUCAAAAGCAGGUAAUAACAGAGAUACCUAAAGACUGAAGACGUCACCAAACGGUGUAUAAAUGGAAAUCCUUGGAAAUUUUCCUAGAUUGACUACGAGUGGGCUGUAUGUACGAUCAAUAUGAGUAGCAUAUUUAUAAUACUUAAAUUUUGCUCUCUGACACAGCUAGCGUUUUAAAAAUAGACCCGUUAAUCCGCCAACGUCACCAUAUUGGUGGGCUAAUCGCUGCUUUGGUGACUUCAAAACAGUGCUGGAGAAACCGGCAAGGCCACUUUUGGGAUAUCACGUCCAAAAUAAGUCAGUCAACGCUGCGGAUUUGCAAACCAAACGAUAUUCAAAGCAGCUGGCAGAGCUUUGAAUUUGGACUUUGUCCAGCCAGCGGCACUGAGUUUUUUGUCGAGUGUUCACCUUACAGCAGCCGGCGUUUCACCUGACUCGGGCAACCGGAACACUUAUGCAAGACAAUCAAUAGUGUAUGACUGACUACUUUUACAGGAGACAGAAGAGGAGAAUGAACAAUGAGUCUAUAUUACAAAGCGCUGAGUGUGCUAAUAUGUGAGUUCCCACUCUGGAUGUCUGAAUGACUAUGUUAAGAAUCAGUCCACUAAAUAUGAAAUUGGCAGCGAAUGAGUUACCGUAUUUUUCGGACUAUUAGGCACACCUGACUAUAAACUGCCGCUUACCAAAUCUGACACAAAAACGCUAUUUGUUCAUAGAUAAACCACACUGGACUAUAAGCCGCAGCUGUCCUCACUGUAUUAUGGGAUAUUAACGCCAAAAGAUCUUAACCGGUAACACUUCAUUUGACAGCGCCAUCAUUCUACUGUCAUCAGACCAAAUGAACCACCAUCAAGCUUUGAACCACUUGGCUCCAAAGCUUCAUUGCUUCAAGAAGCUUCAUUUGGCCAUCACUGCUCCCUUGGAGGAGACAGUCAACCUCCACUGCCACCUGCUGUCAUCACUGUUGUUGUCAAACAUGCCUCCGAACAUGCAUUGCAGCGCUACAGAUUUAUAAAACAAUCAAAAUUUA